GACGGAGGAUGCAAGCGUUGUCCGGAUUUACUGGGCGUAAAGAGCGUGUAGGCGGCCAAGCAGGUCCGUUGUGAAAACUGGAGGCUUAACCUCCAGACGUCGACGGAAACCGCGUGGCUAGAGUCCGGAAGAGGAGAGUGGAAUUCCUGGUGUAGCGGUGAAAUGCGCAGAUAUCAGGAAGAACACCAAUGGCGAAGGCAGCUCUCUGGGACGGUACUGACGCUGAGACGCGAAAGCGUGGGGAGCGAACAGG
rnacentral:rRNA from 1 species